rnacentral:rRNA from 1 species
GACGGACGCUGGCGGCGUGCUUAACACAUGCCAGUCGAACGGAAAGGCCCUGCUUUUGUGGGGUGCUCGAGUGGCGAACGGGUGAGUAACACGUGAGUAACCUGCCCUUGACUUUGGGAUAACUUCAGGAAACUGGGGCUAAUACCGGAUAGGAGCUCCUGCUGCAUGGUGGGGGUUGGAAAGUUUCGGCGGUUGGGGAUGGACUCGCGGCUUAUCAGCUUGUUGGUGGGGUAGUGGCUUACCAAGGCUUUGACGGGUAGCCGGCCUGAGAGGGUGACCGGCCACAUUGGGACUGAGAUACGGCCCAGACUCCUACGGGAGGCAGCAGUGGGGAAUAUUGCACAAUGGGCGGAAGCCUGAUGCAGCAACGCCGCGUGCGGGAUGACGGCCUUCGGGUUGUAAACCGCUUUCGCCUGUGACGAAGCGUGAGUGACGGUAAUGGGUAAAGAAGCACCGGCUAACUACGUG